AAACCAAGUGAUCUACGCAUGGCCAGGCUGAAGUCCCGGUAACACGGGAUGGAGGGCCGCACGGAUAAGCGUUGAAAAGCUUCCCGAUGAGUUGUGCGUAGGAGUGAAAGGCCAAUCAAACUUGGAGAUAGCUCGUACUCCCCGAAAGGCAUUUAGGUGCCGCGUCGGAUGUUCACCGCGAGAGGUAGAGCGACCGAUAGGACGAGAGGGCUUCACCGCCUAUCGAGUCCUGACGAACUCCGAAUGCUCGCGGUCCGCAGUCCGGCAGUAAGGGGGCGGGUGCUAAGGUCCGUCCCCGAGAGGAGAAGAAUCCUGACCGUCGUCUAAGGUCCCGAAAUUCUGUCUAAGUUAGUCUAACGAGGUCUGGUCUCAGUGACAGCUAGGAUGUUGGCUUGGAAGCAGCCAUUCAUUCAAAGAGUGCGUAACAGCUCACUAGUCGAGAGACCGGGCAUGGAUAAUAAUCGGGUAUUAAGUCAGAUACCGAAGGCACGGGGUAGCAGAGUAAUGAAAAGUACCGGUAGGGGAGCAUUCCACCUCCGUCGAAUGGUUUCCGUGAGGAUUCCUGGAGGGCGUGGAAAAGCAAAUGUAGGCAUAAGUAACGACUAGGGGCGUGAGAACCGCCCCCGCCGCAAGUCUAAGGUUUCCCGGGCGAUGCCAGUCAGCCCGGGGUCAGUCGGGUCCUAAGGCUCAGCCGAACGGCGAGGCCGAUGGCAGACACGGUUAAUAUUCCGUGACCCUCUGCUGGAGCGACGUGGAGACGGAGCAGUGACACCACCGCGCCCUGACGGAAUAGGGCGUUGAAGGCCGUAGGUGCUGAUGGAGGCAGGCAAAUCCACCUCCAGAGCUGAAAGCCGACAGUACGCUUCCUCCUUCGGGAGGCGGCGACAGCGUGGGUAACCAUACUUCCUAGAAAAUCCGCUAAGCAUAUCCAUCGGAGGCCCGUACCGCAAUCCGACACAGGUAGACGGGUAGAACAUACUGAGGCGUUGGGAGAUUCAUGGCUAAGGAACUAGGCAAACUGACCCCGUAACUUCGGGAUAAGGGGUCCUCACGGCAACGUGAGGCGCAGAGAAUAGGCCCAGGCAACUGUUUAACAAAAACACAGGGCUGUGCAAACUCGAAAGAUGAUGUAUACAGCCUGACACCUGCCCGGUGCCGGAAGGUUAAGAGGAGGAGUCAGCCCCUUGUGGGUGAAGCCCCGAGUUGAAGCCCCGGUAAACGGCGGCCGUAACUAUAACGGUCCUAAGGUAGCGAAAUUCCUUGUCGGGUAAGUUCCGACCUGCACGAAUGGUGUAAUGAUCCGGGCGCUGUCUCGGCCAUGAUCCCAGUGAAAUUGUAGUAUCGGUGAAGAUGCCGAUUACCCGCGAUGGGACGAAAAGACCCCGUGAACCUUUACUACAGCUUAGCGCUGACCUUGGUCAUCCGAUGUGUAGGAUAGGCCGGAGGCUUCGAAGCGGGGACGCCAGUCUUCGUGGAGCCGCCCUUGAAAUACGGCCCUUUGGCUGUCCGAGGUCUAACGCGCUUUUUGCGCGGACACCGCUUGGCGGGUAGUUUGACUGGGGUGGUCGCCUCCAAAAGUGUAACGGAGGCUUCCAAAGGUGCCCUCAGGCCGAUUGGUAACCGGCCUCUAGAGUGCAAUGGCAUAAGGGCGCUUGACUGGGAGGGAGACAUCCCGAGCAGGCAGGAAACUGGGGCAUAGUGAUCCGGCGGACGCGUAUGGAA
rnacentral:rRNA from 1 species